rnacentral:rRNA from 1 species
AAUUUUUGGCAAUGGGGGAAACGCUGACCGAGCAACGCCGUGUGAACGACGAAGUACUUCGGUAUGUAAAGUUCUUCUAUAUGGGAAGAAAAAUUAAAAUUUGACGGUACCAUAUGAAUAAGCACCGGAUAACUACGUGCCAGCAACCGCGGUAAUACAUAGGGGGCGAGCGUUAUCCGGAUUUACUGGGGGUAAAGGGUGCGUAGUUGGUUAUAAAAAAUUGUGAUGUAAGAGCAGUGCUUAAAACUGUGAGGCUAUGAAAACUAUAUGACUAGAGUGAGAAAGAGGCAAGUGGAAUUACAUGUGUAGCGGUAAAAAACGUAAAUAUAUGGAGGAACACCAGUGACGAAGGCGGCUUGCUGGGUCUAUACUAACACUGAUGCACGAAAGCGUGGGGAGCAAACAGG